CCUCCUACGGGGGGCAGCAGUAGGGAAUCUUCCACAAUGGACGAAAGUCUGAUGGAGCAACGCCGCGUGAGUGAAGGAGUAUUUCGGUAUAUAAAGCCCUAUCAGCAGGGAAGAACAAUGACGGUACCUGACUAAGAAGCACCGGCUAAAUACGUGCCAGCAGCCGCGGUAAUACGUAUGGUGCAAGCGUUAUCCGGAUUUAUUGGGUUUAAAGGGUGCGUAGGCGGUCCGUUAAGUCAGCGGUAAAAUUGCGGGGCUCAACCCCGUCGAGCCGUUGAAACUGGCAGACUUGAGUUGGCGAGAAG
rnacentral:rRNA from 1 species